rnacentral:lncRNA from 1 species
ACAGAUCCCAAACAACCCUUUGAGCAUGUUGAACCCAUUUAAAGCUAUUAUUUUAUUUCAACUAUGCAUUGUUUUCGAAUGUCAUCGGGUGGUGAACCUUUCCCAAUUAAUUAAUGGCCGAAGAUGAUCUUAUUUUCCUAUGGGUUAUAAUUUGAUUAGCAUGAACCUUACAUAUUGGAUUGGUUCAGCUAAAUGUUAUAUGUAUGUUUGCUUAGCCAUGCUUAGAAACAUUAGCUAAUUAAAGGGGAUUAAAUAUAAAUUAUAUUAUAUUAUUCUUAUUAAUUAUGGUUAUAUUUAAUGGUAGCUCACGAUGAUUAAUCGUGUGAUGUUAAUUAAUUGAUAAUUAAAAUCUGGUUAAGGUGGGUUGUGAGCAUAUGGUUUUGAUGGUUGUGCUCAUGGCAAUUAAGGACCGGUUCGCGAGCUACUGUUGUGAAACAUUAACCGUGCCAACCACAAGCCAGCAUGGGCAACGGCUUUACCUUUUGUAUAGCAUGAUUCAUUACGGGGCACCAGACUGAGAAGCGGCGAGAAGUCCGUGGGGGUCGCUGGGGAGUCCAUGCCUCUGGUUUUUGAGGGGGUGAUUAUGAUCCAGGAAUGGUGCACUGUGGUGAGUUGUGUUGUGCGAAGGGUAUUGUCACGAUUUCCCCCUUUGCAGUGCCGUGGUGGUACUUCGGGGCAUGGCAACAUGUGUGGAAUCGUGUCUUGUGGGUACAGUGGUACACCUCUGGCCAGAGUAAAACUAUUCGAAUAUGUCACGCCCGGAAAUUCACUAGUAAUUUCCGAACUUAUUUGUGCAUAAAAUCCUCGUCCAGGAAUCAGCCGAGGUACACAAACUGACAAUUUAAUAUACAAAUCCAUCAUAAUAACUAAACCGAUAAAUACUUACUUAUGAGGCACUUAGUCCUCAUCAUGAAGAAAACUGCAGCGGAAAAUAAAAUCUAGCGAAGCUCCGGCUCCACUCCCACAGGCAGCUCAACUGGGGUAUAAGCCAAACGUCUUCUCCUUCUGGAUCCUUUUUCUUCCACUGAGGUUGAUUGAUUAUUGCAAGAAUGAGCAUAUGCCAUACUUAACAAGCCACACAGCAAAUAUGCAAGUGCACAAGGAUACCAAAGGAUGGCAUAAUAUAGGCUCAUUUGCAAAAGCAGCAUUUAGCAAAACAUUUAAGAGAAAUAAAACAGUAGAAUAAUUAAUCAGAAAUUUUAAUCAACACUGAACAGCACACCCAUGCUGUACAGGCCCAACCAUCCUGAACAACCAUACCCGGCUGAACAGAUCUAACUCCAAACCAGGAGCUAAGCAAAUUAUUACCAAUUAUAACAUCCAUAAUUUAUUGUGAGAGGUGUGAGACUAAUCACGAAAAACAUUGCUCAACUCGCCCAUAACCGCGGGCACGGCUAUUCGAAUAGUUUUACUCUGGCCAGAGGUGUACCACUGUACCCACAAGACACAACCUCAACAUCAUGUCAACCAUGCGUCGCGAUACUGGAAAGUACCCGAAUAGAGGCUGUGACAUUAUCCCCUGCAUAACACAACUCACCACAGUGCACCAUUCCUGGAUCAUAAUCACCCCCUCUACAACCAGAGGCAUGGACUCCCCAGCGACCCCCAUGGACUUCUCGCCACUUCACAGUCUGGCACACUAUAAUGAAUCAUGCUAUACAAGAGAUAAAGCCGUUGCCCACGCUGGCUUGUGGUUGGUACGGUUAAUGUUUCACAACAGUAGCUCGCGAACCGGUCCUUAAUUGCCAUGAGCACAACCAUCAAAACCAUAUGCUCACAACCCACCUUAAUCAUAUUUUAAUUACCAAUUAAUUAUCAUAACACGAUUUACCAUCGUGAGCUAUCAUUAAAUAUAACCAUAAAUUAUAAUGUAGUAUAUAUAAUUCAUCCCAUUAAUGAGCUAAUGUUUCUAAGCAUUGCUAAGCAAUUAUAUCUAACAUUUAGCUGAACCAAACCAAUACAUAAGGUUCAAGCUAAUCAAUUUAGUACCCAAGGUAUCAAGGAAUAGGAUAUUCAAUGCAAAUUGGCCAUAACAAAGGAAUAGGUUCACACCACCCGGUGACAUUCGAAAAUAAAUGCACAGUUGAAAUAAAUAGAGAAUUUAAAUAUAGGAUCAACAUGCUCAAAGGAUUGUGUUUAGGAUCUGUGUGACUUGCCUUGCAAUAAUCAGUCUUCAAUUAAUCUUCCCGAUCACUUCCGACGCACUCACGAACCUUCGCAACGACGGAAACGACAAGCUAACACGCAAAACGAAGAAAAAGACUAAUAAAAACCAAAUAAACAGUACAUAAAAAGUAAACAAACAUGUAGAUCAUAAUUUUAGAUGAAUUAUGAGACUUGAACGGCCUCAUUCUGACUUCAAAUGAAUUUAUUAUGAAUUUUACAAGAUUAAAUCUAAUUAAAGCCCAAUUAAAAAGAAUUAAAUAAAUUUAAUUCAAUCUAUGGACAAUUUUAAUAUGUAGAUCUUUAUUUUAGAAAAAUUUAGAAACUUGAACCACUUAAAACGGAUCUACGGUUAUUAAGAUAUGAUUUUCCGAAGAUUUAACCAUUAGAAAAAAGGAAAAAGGAAAAGGAAAAAGGGACGAUGACGUCAGCCCUAAGGAUGAUGACGUCAGCCCUGGAGAUGACGUCGGCAUGACGUCGGCAACGACGGCCGGCUCGGGUUGGGGUGCUCGCCGGCGCUAGGCGAGUCGGCGGCGAAAACGGAGACCACCUACGCGUAGAGGACGACGAGACGAACCCGUUGGUACCCUCCAACGCGACGAUCGACGACGGAUGACGGCCGGCGACGAGAGGGACGAUGGCGGCGGCUCGGCUUGCACGUGGACGGCGAGCUCCGGUGACCGGCGACGGAAAAGGAAGGGUGGCCGAGCUUCUCCUCGCUCCCGUGCACCUCACGGUGGUGGCGGCGACCGACGGCGAUGACGGAGGCGGCGGCGCGGCGCGGCCGGAGAUGACCGGCGGCAGCAAGCGGCUAGCUCGGCGUGGCGGCGACCCUACGGAGCACUAGAGACCACGGGAGAUGGGGCAAACGAAAGAGGAGAACUAGGGGAUGCUUUAUAGGGGCUCGGAUCGAAGAGAUCAAGCCGCAAACGAGAGGAAUCGAAUCGGGAAGAACACGGACUCGGUUUUGGAGAUAAAAACAAAUCGAACUCGAUUCGGCUCCAAACCGCAACGAUUCGCUUCGAUUCUUGGGGAAAAGAAAGAGGAGACCGAGAGGAACAAAACCCCUCAAUCAAUUUGAAGAAACGGGCUCGGAUUUGGCCGGAAUCGAGAGAAGAAAGGGCGGCUAGGGUUUCGGGCUCGGGCGGCGGCGGCGUCCGGAGGAGGGAGACGAUCUCGACAUGUGGGCCCCACAUGUCAGCGGCUGGGAGAGAGGGGCGGCGCGGCGCGGGCGCGGGCGGCUUGGGCGACCUGGGCCGAGCGCGGGAAGAGAGAGAAAGAGAGAGAAAGAGAGAGAAGUUGGGCCGAAAUCGGCCCAACGGCCUAGGAGGAGAUUUUAAAAACUUUUUCAAUUAAAAUAAUUUGUGAAAUGUUGUUUCAUUUAUUAAAAAUACUUCCUUUGCUCAAAUAAUUCCCAGAAAAAUCUAGAAAAUAUAGGAACAAGCAAAGUAUUUAAUGAAAUUUUAUCUAGCUCAUUUUUAUAUUGAGAUUUAGCAAAUUAAAAGAAAGAUCUUCUCUUUUAAACUUUUAAAAUCAUUUCUAUUAAUUCCUUUUAAACAACAAUUUAUAAUUUAGGGAUUUUAAAAUAAGAAAAGCACUUAACAAUUAUAAUUAGAUCAUUAUAUGAUUAUGUUAAUAUUUAAAUAAUUGCUGAACUUUUCUUUGUAUGAUUAAAAUUAAUAAUUGAGCUCUGAAAAAUCCGAGAAAAUUCCAGAGAGUAUAAUUAACCAUGGAGAAUUUAAUAAAAAUUAAAUCCACCCAUGCUUUUUAUUUAGGAAAUUUUAUUUCCCACAUUUUACUUUACUUGAAAAUUAAA